UAUUCCUGCGCCUCUCGUAUUUUUUAGAACCAGAAAUAACACGCUACAAUGGGGAUAAAGAACGUAAGCAAAAAUGUCGGCAUGAGUCGCAUUAUUUUAUAUAUUAAAUAGGGAGGCCUAUCCCAUUUUUGGAGAGGAAUCUGGCGUCAAGAGGGGAUGAAAGAGGAGCCGUUACAGAGACUGAAGCCUCGACCCAUCACCGGAGUUACCAUAACAUAAACAAUAGUUCGAGUACCCUUGGAUGAUGUGUCCUUUAUAGCACUUUAAACGUCUUAUAAGUGAAAUGUAUGUUAAUCUCGGUUGGUCUGUUUAUCAGUUACACAAACUGUGACUUUCUCUGAAGUACUUGAGAUGGGCACCUAUGGCAUAUUAUUUAGCAAAGAAGAGUGGAGGUGAAAAACAGGCUCAUUAUGUACUGGUCCUAACUAUGUUCUGUUGUCAAAGAAAAAGCCUCUCAAAGUCAGCAGUUCUCUUAGAGGGAGACAGAAAAUUGGAUGGCAAGAUAAAGUGAAGGAAGAUAUGGAGAGAAGAGGUUUGGUGAAUGAUGAGGCCUUUGAUAGAAGGCAGUGGAGAAGGCGCAUCAGGCAACCGACCCCAUAAUGUAGGGAUAACAGUGGGAAAGAAGAAGAAGAAGGUUUCCUUCCAGGAGCAGCCAAAUUUAUGUACACCCAUAGACGUAUUACCAGACACCUGCCCAACAAUCUACAAUCCUUCAAAAAAUGAAUAACUUUUGGUUAAUAGCAUCUGUAUAAAGUUGAAAAUCUACCCAUAGAAGAAUUGUCUGCCAGAAAUCAUAACAUCCCUUAUACCUGCUGGUAUUGUCAGGCCAGCUUUGUCUAACAGACAACAUCAAGCUUUGUCUGAUCUGUCGCUGACUUUCCUUUCAUGCUAAAAUUUUGUUUUGAGAGGAAUUUCAUUAUGACUUCUGCACCUAUGCAGCCUAUUCUGGGGGUUAUAUUUUUAUGUACAGAUGAUAUGUAUCAGUUCUGAAUAUUCGUCAGUUUUUAGAUAAUAUUUCAAAGAUACCUUUGUAUCUAUGAGAUGGCAGUCACUGGAAAGGUUCUUGGUAAAUAAUAAUUUUUUUUCUAUAUGCUCUGUAAUGACUGCAGAGUUAUACUGCUAAAAUUCAUAACGUAAUAAUUUUUCUUCUAUUGUCAGUGUCCAAGCCUCAAGUUCUUUGUCCCGGAGACUGCUCCCUUCUGGAGAAGAUCCCUGGAGUAAUCCAUCAACCCUUGGGUUGGAUGCUGAUAGAUGGAUACUAUGCUUUCCGCUCAGCUGCUGAACCCCCAACGAUGUUAAAAGAGAUACAGCCUGCCUCCUAUUUGAGGAACUUCAUUGAGAUGAUGAGGGUCGGGUUCCUUUCCUGACCAUGCACCUCUAGCUCGCCCUUGGGCUCCGGUUCCUCCACGCUGACGAAAGGGGCCUCUAGCCCUGCAACCCCUAGCAACCUUGGUAAAAAGUUUAAAUACCCGAUUCUCAUAGACCGGGUUAAAAGCAGGCGACACUGAAUACAGUUGGGGAACCUGUUGGCUAGCCGACGGCGAAAGGAAGACAAAUUGAUGCUGUUGCCGAGGCUGAGCCUUAGAAGAUGAAGGUUGGGGAACUUGCUGAAUUAGAACAGCUUGUAGCACAGGAUGCUGUUGCGGAACUUGGAAAGGUUGGUACCUUCUUUGACCCUUCCUAGCCCUAAAACUGGAGGAAGAAGACUCUAAUUUCCUUUUGAAAGGAAUGCCCCAACGCAAUCUGAUGCUUUGAUUAAAACGUGAUGCCUCGUUCUGAACCUCGUUUACUGCCGAAGCUGGGAAGAGAUCUGUACCCCAGAUUGAGGAAGCCAGAAGCUUGUUGGGUUCGUGCCUGAUCGUAGCCUCGGAUAGAACAUGCUUCCUGCCAUUUCUCUUAGUAACCGCAAAGCCGAACGAGUCACAUUGCAUGCUUAAAAGUAACUACUCCGCAAUGACCUUAAACAGCGGUUCAUGAGCGUACUCCAGAGCCGCCGUCUCCGUCAUCACUAGAGAGUUAAGAGACCUUGCAAGACGUGUC